GAACUCAGUGUACAAAAUAUCCACACAAAAAUACACUUUAAUGAUAUCAAGAUACAUUUCUGUUGAUUUUGAUUUCAUGAGUCCUUAGUUCAUAGUACUGUUUGUAUACACAUGAUCAGACAGGUGAAUUAAAACCAUACCAGACCACAUUCUGUAUGGUCAUUCUGGCAGGGCAGCUAAUCCAUGAGCACAACUGGGGGUGUAGAGGAAGUGACAUGCUGUAUGGAACACUGAGAAACAGGAAGCACUUCAGACUAUUUCUCCCAGAACACAAAAUGCAGAAGAUAGUGACAGAGUAUGGAACAGAUUGUCAGUUACAUUAUUAAUGGAGUGACACACCUGGUGCCCAAUGAGAAGACAAUGAACUGCAAUAGGAUGUCACAUCAUCUGAAUAGACAUGUCGAAGCUUAGAGGGGCAGGAGAGCCUCCAUGACUGGCCAACAUACACCUCUGAACUGUAAGAAGAGGUGGGAGGAGGAGAGGGAAAGAGUCGCUCCUCAGGAACCGUUGAGUGGAGUUCUCGUCCUCCUUUCCUCUCUCUCCCCGUGCGGCCGGCCAGCUCUUGGCUGUAGCCCAGAGGAAUUCUCUAGUGGCCUUGGUAAAUCUACCAUUUAGAAUAACAGCGGACUGCAGCCAGAGCCAGUGUGGGGGUCCUCACUGGGCUGCGUCCCAAUGGCACCCUAUUCCCUAUAUAGUGCACAAUGUAGGGAAUAGGGUGCCAUUGUAGCAUAUGACUGUGGCCAGGAAGAGAGAGCGGGGUCUGACCUGGAGGUUAAACAGGAAUACACUGUUAAAUGACUGCUCCUGGUUACUUGAUUGCAUGCAACGUUUUGACUGCAUUAAGCUCAAUAUUUGUGUUAGCUCCCUGGGCUAAUGCCUAGGAGAUUAGCUCAGUGGGCUUUCAUAGUCUUGUGGUGUCACGUUAGUGUACAGACAGGCUUCAGCUGUACAGCACUCAGUGGUAUCAUCAGAAACACACCUGUCAAUCAAUCAACUCAUCAAUCAUACUAGUCAAUCAAUCAUACUAGUCAAUCAUACUACUGAUGCUUACUGAGAUGCAGUUUCUGGGGUGCUACUGUAUGUCUGUAACGUGUCUGUAUGAAUGUCUGUAGCGUGUCUGUAUGCAUGUCUGUAUGAAUGUCUGUAGUGUGUCUGUAUGAAUGUCUGUAGUGUUUCUGUAUGCAUAUCUGUAGCGUGUCUGUAUGCAUAUCUGUAGCGUGUCUGUAUGAAUGUCUGUAGUGUGUCUGUAUGCAUAUCUGUAGCGUGUCUGUAUGAAUGUCUGUAGGACUGUCUGUAGGACUGUCUGUAGCGUGUCUGAAGGACUGUCUGUAGCGUGUCUGAAGGACUGUCUGUAUGAAUGUCUGUAGGACUGUCUGUAGCGUGUCUGAAGGACUGUCUGUAGCGUGUCUGUAUGAAUGUCUGAAGGACUGUCUGUAGCGAAUCAUACUAGUCAAUCAUACCAGUCAAUCAUACUACUGAUGCUUACUGAGAUGCAGUUACUGGGGUGCUACUGUAUGUCUGUAGCGUGUCUGUAGCGUGUGUCUGUCUUUCGGACCGUCUGUAGCGUGUGUCUGUCUUUCGGACCGUCUGUAGCGUGUGUCUGUCUUUCGGACCGUCUGUAGCGUGUGUCUGUCUUUCGGACCGUCUGUAGCGUGUGUCUGUCUUUCGGACUGUCUGUAGCGUGUGUCUGUCUUUCGGACCAUCUGUAGCGUGUGUCUGUCUGCAGCGUGUCUGUAGGACCGUCUGUAGCGUGUCUGUCUUUCGGACUGUCUGCAGCGUGUGUCUGUAGGACUGUCUGUAGCUAGGACUGUCUGUAGCGUGUGUCUGCAGGACUGUCUGUAGCACGUCUGUGGGACCGUCUGUAGCGUGUCUUUCAGACUGUCUGUAGUGUGACUGUCUGUAGGACUGUCUGUAGCGUGUCUGUAGGACUGUCUGUAGCGUGUCUGUAGGACUGUCUGUAGCGUGUCCGUAGGACUGCCUGUAGGACUGUCUGUAGCGUGUCUGUAGCGUGUCUGUAUGACUGUCUGUAGCGUGUCUGUAGGACUGUCUGUAGCGUGUCCGUAGGACUGUCUGUAGGACUGUCUGUAGCGUGUCUUUCGGACUGUCUGUUGCGUGUCUGUAGCGUGUCCGUAGGACUGUCAUUCGGACUGUCUGUAGCGUGUCUUUCGGACUGUCUGUAGCGUGUCCGUAAGGACUGUCUGUAGCGUGUCUUUCGGACUGUCCGUAGGACUGUCUGUAGCUUGUCUGUAGGACUGUCUGUAGCGUGUCCGUAGAACUGUCUGUAGCGUGUCUGUAGGACUGUCUGUAGCGUGUCCGUAGGACUGUCUGUAGCCGUGUCCGUAGCGUGUCUUUCGGACUGUCUGUAGCGUGUCUUUCGGACUGUCUUUCGGACUGUCUGUAGCGUGUCUGUAGGACUGUCUGUAGCGUCUCUGUAGGACUGCCUGUAGGACUGUCUGUAGCGUGUCUGUAGGACUGUCUGUAGCGUGUCCGUAGGACUGUCUGUAGCGUGUCCGUAGGACUGUCUGUAGCGUGUCCGUAGGACUGCCUGUAGGACUGUCUGUAGCGUGUCUGUAGGACUGUCUGUAGCGUGUCU
rnacentral:lncRNA from 1 species